GGCUAGGGGUUGAAUCGAAGCUGCAGCUGCAGGCCUGCACCAGAGCCACAGCAACACCAGAUCUGAGUCACAUCUGCGACCUAUACCACAGCUCACGGAAACACCAGAUCCUUAACCCACUGAGGCCAGAGAUCAAACCCACAUCCUCAUGGAUAUCAGUCAGGUUCAUAACCUGCUGAGCCACAACAGGAACUCCCCUGGUUGCAUUAUUUUAAUGUGUGAUUUUUAAAAAAUAUCCCCGGUCAUGUUUAUCCUGGGAAGGGAUAGGAAUGUCAACUCCUAAGUGCACAGACUCAGCUGAGGAGCUGGUGACCAAGAUUCACUAGCUGUAGGGUGUAAACUCCUAACAAGUGAUGCCAGCAAGUCAAGAAACAUUGAUAAGAACCCCCCCUUCUCACAGGACGUGUCACAUACUCCUUAUACAGCACUAGAAUGUUCUGAAAAGUCUGAAGCAUCAAGGUGAGGCAUUAUGCCAACAGAUAACUGUCAAAGGGCCAGCAUUUAUCUAGCCCUUCCUAUGUGCCAGGUACUAGUCUAAGUAUUUUACACAUGUACUCAUUUAAUUGUCAAAGCGGUCCUUUAAGAUAACAUUAUCAUCAACCUUCUUGGACAGAGAGGGGGCCUGAGGCACAGAGAGAUUCAGUAACUUGCCCAAGUUGCCUCUCAGUGAUACAACCAGGAUUUGAAGCCAGGCAUGUUGACUCCAGGGCCCCUGCUCUCUAAGUACUCCGCGAUGUGUCCUCAGUAAGUCGGGUGGUCUGACAUUUGUACCCAAAACCACCUAAAGUAUCUCAGAUCAAGCUGCCACUUGUCCUCACCACAAGUCUUACUUGGGCCCAUUCAUUACAUAAUUAUGGAAUAUUGUCUAUUUUACCCCAGAAUCAGCCUAGGAGGACUUCCCAUUGUUUUCUGUCAUCCAUCUGCCUUUCUUACGUAAGAAGUCAGAGGCCUCAGCUCAAAUUUGCAUCAUGCUCGAUUUAUGCCAAAUGCCCACAUUAACCUGAUAGAGUUGCAGAAAUACCGGAGUGGGAAAACAUCAAAUGGACAGAUUGGCUACCAACCACCUGUGUGGGUGUGGGCAAGCGAUUCAUCUUUCCUUAGCCACCGCGUGGGCUGUCUGGAGGAAAAAGGCACCAAAGAACAGAAGAGUCUGUUUUAUACUCUUUGGGGUUGAUAGCUUCCCUUACUUGGAAAGACUGCUUAGAAAAUGUGCUUUAGGUUUGCAAAAAUGAAAUGCUGGCUUCCAUCUUCAAAUGUCAAUGUCACAGGCUGAAACAAGAGAAGCGCAGUAGAUCUCAUUUUCUCUUUGAAGGGAGAUUAAAGAGCUGAGGGGAGGGAAGAAAAGGAGAACGAAGAAAAAUCCCAACACCUGACUUGAGUUUACAACAAUUUGGCUUCCCUGUGUGUUCACAGAAACCUCUUCAAUAUGGGACCCCCUUCCCAGAGGGAACCAUGGGAGAGAGCGGAGAGCAGUCAAGCAUCACCCAACUUUUAUGUCCAAAGCAGUGUGGAGAGGGAGGAUCAGGGCCUGGAAGCUCUGGUUGGAACAGCAAGCCAGGUAACCCAUUUGAGGCACCACGGAGCCCUUUAAGAGUUCCACCCAGAGGAGGAAAUAACAGUCAACCAGUAAAGGGAUUAGUUCCAUGAUCCCAAAGACGGAGCAAAUAUGUUUCCUUAAAGAAUGCGUUCCAGGAGUUUCAACUGUAGCUCAGUGGGUUAAGAACCUGACAUAGUGUCCAAGAGGAUACAGGUUUGAUCCCUGGCUUCACUCAAUGGAUUAAGGAUCUAAUGUUGCCACAAGCGGCAAGUAUAGGUGGCAAAUGAGGCUUGGAUGUGGUGUGGCCAUGGCUGUGGUGUAGACCUGAAGCCGAAGCUCCAUUUCAACCCCGAGCCCGGGAACUCCCAUAUGUCACAGGUGCAGCCGCACAAAGGAAAAAAAUUAAAAAUUAAAAAGCUAAAAAAAGGAUGAGUUCCAGAGGCCAUAUUCAGAUAAGACUUUUCCCAAAAGUGACUGCUUUGAAUUUGACAGUCACAGUCCAAAGGGACACCACUUAAGAUCCACUAAUCUCAUCAUGUCUCAUAGCAACAAUUCAUUUUUCUGUCUUUUAAAGGCAACUUUUGGGGCACUAAAAGCCCAACUAUGUAUAACGUGAUGGACCAAUGUGUGAAGUCCUAACUCCCCAGCACCUUAGAAUGUAACUGUAUUUGGAGAUAAAACCUUUUUAAAGAGAUAAUUCAGGUGAAAUGAGGUCACUGGCCAGGCCUUCAUCUCAUAUGACUGCCAGGCAUAAAGUCACCUGCCUUCAUGGAACACACAUAAAAAGUUCAGAUCAUGGCCUGAACCCCUUAGGGAGGUAGCUCGGUGGUGGUUAUUGAGACUGUUCUCGACCCUCCAGAAAAACAGUGCAACCAAGUUAUGGUGAGAAAAGAGAGAAGAGAAGGGAUGACGAAGUUUCUCUUUAAAAAAAAAUUCAUGUGCCUCAUUUCAUUAGAGGACAUAUAAAACAUGCUUUGGAUUAAUUUCUAGAAGUCAACAUUUAUUGGAAUCAUUUUUGCAUAAUCAUAUUCAUUCUAGACAAGGCCAUAUUAUGGCAUAUUUUACUUACUUACUAAUUUUUUAUGGCCACACUUGCAGCAUUUGGAAGUUCCCUGGCCAAAGAUCGAAUCCCUAGGCCACGGAUCGAAUCAGCUGCAGUUGUCACCUAUGCCACAGCUGCAGCAAUGCCAGAUCCUUUAACCCACUGCACCAGGCCAGGGAUCAAACCUGCACCUCCACAGCAGCUCAGGCCACUGCAGUCAGAUUCUUAACCCACUGCACCACAGUGGGAACUCCUGGCAUAUUUUAUUAACUGGACGAUUUGGUUACUUACUUAAAAUACAGCAUUUAGUCCCCUGGUUCAUAAAGUCUCAAUGCACAGAGAGACAGUUUCCAAACAAACAAAAUGAUUCUGCACUAAAUUUUUUUUUGGAAGUAGAGGCCGGUACAAUUACAGUGGAAAUAAUCUUACAUUUGGGCAAAGCAACCUGUUGAGACAUAAACUUUAACUAUUUUUGAUCAAGUUCACAGGUAUAAAUGGGAAUGCACCCCACACCUAUGGAGAAGUCUAUAGGAAAUCUCCCUUUAAGGACCUCCCCGAGUGACUGUGUACUGUGCCUCAGGAGCUGUGACAGCUGUGAUAACAUACGAAUAAAAAAUGCUCUCAUGCAGACAUCCUGAGGCCCUGUGAGGGAAGCAAUAAUUGGACCCAUCUUUCCAUGAGCUCACUGUGCAAUUACUCUUAUGGAGAACUGCCUGCACUGUCCCCACUUGUUCCUGGUGCUCCUGCGUAAAUAAAAUAAAACACAGGAAUGGCUUCUGCAGCCCAGUACCCCUUUUAGAAGAAUAUUAGUAAAGACUUUUUUUUUUUUUAGGGCCACACCUGUGGCACAUGGAGGUUCCCAGCUAGGAAUCAAACUGGAGCUGCAGCUAUUGGCAUAUACCACAGCCACAGCAAUGAGGGGUCCAAGCCACACCUGCAACCUACAGCACAGCCUGCAGCAAUGUCAAAUCCUUAACCAAAUGAGUGAGGCCAGGGAUCGAACCCGCAUCCUCACAGAGACGAUGUUAGGUCCUUAACCCACUGAGCCACGAUAGGAACUCCAAUAAAGACUUUCAACUGGCAGAAAACAGAAAACACUGUCAGUAAAUGAUAUAUCGAAGUAAUCCUCAAUCCUAAUUUUAUACAAUUUCGGUUACUAUGGUCUGGCUUUCCCCCAACCUCUGUGGUGUGGCAUUUGAUGAGACACCCAGGAACAAACACUUGGAGUCCUUCCACUCGUUCAUUCAUUCACUUGCGCAUCCCGUCAUUAACUAUGUACUGAUCUGCCCUGUGACGUGAGGCAAAGCAUUGGGUUUCCGGCCACAAUGCCAAGAAAACUACCACGUCUCUCUUUUCAGAGAGCAGAGCCUCGAGGGGAGGGGUGGAGACAGUAAUACAUUAUCAAAGCCUCAGAGAAAACUGUCCCGGGUGUGUCUCUCCUCUCCACACUUUCCUCUCUGGGUCUCCAUGAAGAUGACAAAAGGGAGUUUCAUCUACAAAAAUCCCUUAGAUAGGAGUUGCCAUUGUGACUCAACAGGUUACAAGCCCAACUAGUAUUCAUAAGGAUGCAGAUUCGAUCCCUGGCCUCAUUCAGUGGGUUAAGGAUCCCACGUGGCUGUGACUGUGGUGCUGGCCGGCAGCUGCAGCUCUGAUUCAACCCCUAGCCUGGGAAUUUCCAUCUGCUGCAGGUGUGCCCCCUCCCCUGCAAAAAAAAAAAAAAAAAGAAAAAAAGAAAAUCCCCUAAAUAAAAAUUGCAUAAAUCAAGUUACAAUAUCCCCGGGCUCUGGGCCCUUGCUCCCUACAAGGAGACCCAUGAGCUGGCCGCAGCAGCAUCGUGUGGAAGCUCCGCAGACACAGCCUGGAGCCUCCCCGGACCAGCAUCUGCACUUUAAGGAGAGCCCCAGGAGGCCUCUGUGCACAUCAGACUUUGAGCAGUACAGCUCCAGAUGCUUGUCCCAAAGCACACUCCAAGGACACUGCACCUGGGUGCCGUAUGACAACACAAAACCUUUGCUCAAAUGGUGUGGCAAGCUAUUGGUUAAAGCAAGUCAGUGAUUUCUUCACCGUGGCGUGUUUGCAAGUCUUUGAUGUUCAUUGUAAAUACUCAAGAGGAAGAAAUCAAUGGUAACUGUAGUAGUAAGGAUAGUAACAACUACUACGUGUGGGCUACCCGCUACUUAGAAUUUUACAGACAGAUAGAUAGAUGUAUAUAUAAUCAGGAACCAUACCUACUCCUCAGACAAACCUAAAAUUAGGUAUCAUUGCUCUCAUUGUUCAAAUUGGGAAAAUGAAGCUCAGAGAGGCUAAGUGAUUUUCCCAACAUGACACAGCUAACAGUUUACCAGCUGGGAUGAGAAUCCAGCCCUGCCUGAAUUCAAAGCCCAGGGGCUCAACUGAAAACUUACAGCAGUUUUCUAAACAUCUUCAGUCACCGAACUGCCCCAACAGGAACACAGCAUCCUCUGUUUGGUGACGAUCACAUGGGACCAGUCCACAAAUGGCUGGGAAAGUCUUUCAUAGAAACCCAGAUUCGCCACAGCGUGUCAGACCCAGACUGUGCAGAAAACACCCGGUGGGGUGGGGUCAGGGUACCGUCAAAUGGGACGUCAAUUUUAAAUGGGAGGCUUGUAUUCCAGCCACUCAUCGGGUCACAAGACAAUUUUAGGGUUUCCUUCGGACCUGGGACAUCAGUUACACCCUUUCAAAUUGUCCUUGUCUAUACUGACAUGCCACUAUCAUAUAAACAUGAUAAUCACAUGUGGCCUAGUCCAGACACAGUGGAUUCUGGACUCUUCUCCCAUUAUUGCUAAAUAGCUGGUACACUGGACCUGAUUUUGCUCCCAU
rnacentral:lncRNA from 1 species